ensembl:misc_RNA Metazoa_SRP Metazoan signal recognition particle RNA
GCCGGGUGCGUUGGCGCGUGCCUGUAAUCCAAGCUACCGGGAGGCUGAGGUUUGAGGAUCGUUUGAGCUCAGGAGCUCUGAGCUGCAGCAGGCUAUGUCGAUCGGGUGUCCGCAUUGCGUUCGGCAUUGAUAUGGUGAUCCUGGGGGAUCCUGAGACCACCAGGUCACCUAAGGAGGGGUGCACCGGCCCAGGUCGGAGACGGAGCAGGUCAAAGCCCCCGUGUCGCUCAGUAGUGGGAUCGCACCUGUGAAUAGAUGCUGUAGCGCAGCCUGAGCAAUACAGCUAGACCCAAUCUUCAU